CGGUUGCGGGAGGAUUUGCAGUGUUUUGUGUUGGGUUUUUGCAAGGGUGCGUGGCGUGAUUUUCUUCAAAGUUGAUGGAAUAAACUUUAUGUGCGUCUUGUAGUUCAGAUUUAAUAAGAUUUGUUCGCGGCACCAGUUUGAAAAUUAGCGAAACGCUCCUCGAAAAACUUGUAGUCCCUGGCGAAACGAAUUGUUGUUGUUUCCAGUGGGCAUUGUUCUACUACUUCGAAAGCGCAUAACAAGCUCUUGCAGCAGCUUUGGUUCGUGCACAAGGUAGCUGUCGUUCGCAGGUUAUUCGUGGCUCCAUUAUUCCUUAUCAUUCAUUUAUUUACGAUAAAGACGUCUCAAGUACCUACCUAUUGGCGAAUUGUAGAAAUUGUGAACUGCUUUCGGCAGCACGGGGAGAAUGCGCCGGUCCAGAACACGCUUCCUCGCCGACUGGACUCAGACUGACUGAAGGGUUUCGAUUCAUUAACGAUCUUCUUGGAAAUAAUUGAAGAUUCCACUUAUCACUGUCGACGAGGCUACUCUCACUAUCAGUGAAGAUUCCUCACCCGUUA